UCUAGGCAUCUAUCCCAAGCAUUUUAUAAAAUUCUGGUUUAUGCUCCAGCACUGCUUGCAGCAACACAUGAGGAAGCUAGCUAAAUUUCUUGGAUAGUUUUCUUGUAUGUAUAUAAUUGGUUUGCCCAAUUAUUUAUGUCUUGCUUAUGCAACUGGAUUAUAGAUUACUGCUCGAUUGACUUUUGGAAAUCAGCACAUAAUAACUUGACAUAGUAUUAGAUAGUUGAGUAGGAAGAGAAAAGAAGCAGCUUCGGUACAAAAUUCAGAGAGUGGAUUUGAGACAUCUGUAUCUCAAGAUUAUCUUGUGACCAGAAAUUUAGAUGGGUGUAUUCGUGUAGAACAAUUUCUUAGGAUGGGUAGUUAACCUGAAGAUGUGUCCUUAAAUGGACAGCCUAGAAGGUAGAAGUACUGGUGUACUGACUCCUGAACCUGAAUUGCAGUGACAGUGUGACGCAGAGAUGGCACGCUCAUAGAGUUCAGUUAAGUUCCAACUAUUGUAUCAACGCUGUAAAGAAAAAAAAAAUCCGACCUGUAGUGUAUGAUAGGGAGCGGCUAUCAAGGUAAGGACAAUAACUGUAAUUAAGUCAAGUCAACAGCUAAUGGCCUGAAUCAAAUCUUAAAAGGACAUUCCAGACAUAAUCUUUUCUCAGUAGUUGCUUACUUCUCUAACAGUUCUUUUCUCCACCAAGAAUCAAAUAGUACAAACUAAACCUAACGUUUGAGAAGUAGCAAAUCUACCUUUUUUUGCCUGGGACGAUCAGUUGAUCAGUAUUAUUGUUUUACAGCAAAAAAUAUUUUCAUUAUCUUCUUUUUUGGAAGUUGAGUACUAUUUGCAGCUUCUGUUUCCUUUGUGCUUCUGAACUGAUAUUGUUCACUUAGAUUUAGAGAUCUUCUUGUGGGAUUCCAUUUUAUUUCUGUUAUAGAUCAUAAGAAGCCACAGAGAGAGCAACCUGAGUGACCGGGGUUUUCCGUUCAAUCAAAGUGUAGGUGUGUGUUUGGUUCGUUACCACAACAUGCCACAGCUCAUAACCUUUUUGUUGUUCUCAGUAAUGUUCGAUAGUCUUGAUAAUCCUAGACAUGGCUGAUCUCUGUGGUUUCAUUUUUUUAGUAUUUGAGUCUUGCAUCAAGUUACUCAAUUUUUGCUCACUCAAAAAAAGGUACUUGAGUCUGUAGGCCUGUCAUCAAUUUUUUCUCGACAGCAAUAGUAGCAAGGGCGGGAACGAGUAGGAGUAGGAGGAGGAAACCUUCUCCUAUUUUUUUAAAUGAUGGUAAAACAAGAGAGAAUGCAUCUAUUUGCACAUCCUGGAUUGGUAUCCCUCUAUUUACAGUUCUUUUCACCAUAGAUGUAUGAAGUCUUUUCUCUUGGUGUUGGAAGACAAACUGAGAUGAACCAUUUGUUUUCGUUUAAUUUUAGUUUGUUGAACAAGGUUGCCAAAAGUAGUAUGCUCAGCCACUGCGGCAUGAUCAACUUCUUUAUACUGGACAAAUCAAAUGUAGGUUCAAGUGGCUUCGCGACAAGGUUUGAAAACAUGCUUCAGGGUGACCAUGGGAUGCCCACAGGAGAGUUAACUUUGUUAAAUACACUAUCAGUAGAAGAAGCACAAACAGCCCUCCACAAAAACUUCUACAGUUUUGUGUCUACAUCACAGUACAAAAGACGGCUAGCAAUGAGCUAUCAUGUCGAACAAGCAAAGCUCAGUUGGUGAUGCACUCGCCUGUAGAAAGUACGACCAAGGAAAAGCAAUAAUCAAAGGUGCAUUAAACUACUCCCUCCGUCCCAAAAUUCUUGUCUUAGAUUUGUCUAAAUACGGAUGUAUCAAGUCACGUUUUAGUAUUAGAUACACCCGUAUCUAGACAAAUUUAAGACAAGAAUUUUGGGACGGAGGGAGUAACAUACUUACCACUGCAAUAAGAGAAAUAUUUCUUCCGAAGGCUUUUUCUUUUGUCCUCUGUUAGAGGUGUUGCUUUUAAAGAAAUUUGCUACUGUAUUUGCUUAUGCGGGAUGUUUGAUUAGCCAAAUAUUUCUACUUUUUGGCCUCUGCUAAGGGAUCUAUAUCGUUCGAGGACUCUAGACAAAUUUUAAUGUGAUUUUGUGUUUUCAA